rnacentral:tRNA from 1 species
GCUCGGAUGGUGUAGUUGGUUAUCACAUGUGCUUUACACGCACAGGGUCGUGGGUUCGAUUCCCACUCCGAGUACCA